rnacentral:misc_RNA from 1 species
GGGUGGUUGGCUCUUUGCUUGCGCAACAACUUCCACCUGGCAUACCUCUUCAGUUUUGGGUCAAUGCUUGUAUCGCAUUGAACGCACGGGGGUUUCUUGUGUUGCAUGCCUAAUUGAUGGUAUCGUUUUGACGAAUUGAUGUCUAUUUUCAUCUUGUGUCGCACAUGCGAUGUGAGAUGAACCUUAAAGCAGCCUUUUGUGAUCCACUCUUUUGAUGCACACGCAUCGAUUUUGUGGCUCAUUGAGUGUUUGCUUGGUCUCAUGGAUAUGGAACCUUGUGUGGGCAUG